rnacentral:rRNA from 1 species
GAUGAACGCUGGCGGCGUGCCUAAUACAUGCAAGUCGAGCGAAUGGAUUAAGAGCUUGCUCUUAUGAAGUUAGCGGCGGACGGGUGAGUAACACGUGGGUAACCUGCCCAUAAGACUGGGAUAACUCCGGGAAACCGGGGCUAAUACCGGAUAACAUUUUGAACCGCAUGGUUCGAAAUUGAAAGGCGGCUUCGGCUGUCACUUAUGGAUGGACCCGCGUCGCAUUAGCUAGUUGGUGAGGUAACGGCUCACCAAGGCAACGAUGCGUAGCCGACCUGAGAGGGUGAUCGGCCGCACUGGGACUUAGACACGGCCCAGACUCCUACGGGAGGCAGCAGUAAGGAAUCUUCCGCAAUUGACGAAAGUCUGACGGAGCAACGCCGCGUGAGUGAUGAAGGCUUUCGGGUCGUAAAACUCUGUUGUUAGGGAAGAACAAGUGCUAGUUGAAUAAGCUGGCACCUUGACGGUACCUAACCAGAAAGCCACGGCUAACUACGUGCCAGCCGCCGCCGUAA